GGGAGGACACCGUCCUCCUAAACUCCCUGCCAGCACGCCCCUGGAAUACAGUAAUGAUAUACUUGCUGAUGGAGACAACAUAGAUAGCGAUGAUUGGAUUGCUGUGGCUUUCGACAAUGGAUGGUUCCCAGGAAUGGUAACCAGUGUCUGCCAUGAGAAUGUAAUAGUUGACUUUCUUCAACCAACAUCACUGCCAUGCCAGUUUAAAAGACCAACACCCAAAGAUGAAGUUGAAAUAAAAAGAAUUUAUGUUUUUGCUGGACCGCUUCUUCCUCCAGUACCAACAAGUGGUGGUCGACUGUUUUCACUUCCUCAAACUGAAGCUGUUGAAUUAUCAUACACAAAGUUCAAAGCAAAGCACUGGUGAAGUUGAAAGGUCUGUCAACUCCUUGUUAUUUUACUCCAGAAAUGUAUAUAGCCUAAUUUAUUUCAUUAUAUUUUGAGUGAUCCUGUCUGAUGAAUAUUUUAGAAACUUAUAAUAAGACUGGUCAGUUUCACAUAUUAUAUAAUUUAAAUACAACAUACCUGGUUGAAUAGUGCUUCUGUAGAGCUUUAAUUUGAUAUGCAACAUGAAAUAGUUCCCUUCAAGUUUCAAAAUUUGUU